rnacentral:lncRNA from 1 species
GAGGAGGACAUAGGGGAGGUGAGGAGGAUGAGGGAGGUGAGGAGGAUGGGGGAGGUGAGGACAGGGGAAGUGAGGAUGGGGGCAGGUGAGGACAUAGGGAAGGUGAGGACAGGGAGAGGUGAGGAGGACAUAGGGAAGGUAAGGAGGACAUGGGGAGGUGAGGAGAACAUAGGGGAGGUGAGGAGAACAUAGGGGAGGUGAGGAGAACAUAGGGGAGGUGUGGAGGACAUAGGGGAGGUGUGGGGGACAUAGGGGAGGUGUGGAGGACAUGGGGAGGUGUGGAGGACAUGGGGAGGUGAGGACGUAGGGGAGGUGAGGACAGGUGGAGGCGCGGAGGACAUAGGGGAGGUGUGGAGGAGAAUCUCGGAUGCCAGUGGGUCAGGGUGCCUGUCACCAGGUGAGUGCCUGCAGCUGCCCUGGGUCAUGGCUUCCGUGGCCUGCGGGCUCUGCUGCUUUCUGGCAUUUGUGGGUGCCUUUAGCCUUGUCCACAGGAGGAGGCUGCUUCUGCAGAGCCGGGCCCCCGAUAAGCCUUAGCAAACCCCUGAGGACCUUGGACUUAAGGACCCUCCACAAGGAAAGGCUGUGGGUGAAGACCACCCAAGGAUUCUGGGGUGAGCUCCAGACCAUGAGCUUCCGGUGGGUGAGGGGGCAGCAGCAGCGGCCACAUCUCAGGAGCCUGUCUAGGGGCCUGUCCUCCAGAAAAGCAGAGACAUGAGGCAGCAGCCCCCGGAGACCCUCCCGCACGUGGCCAGCCAGCAGGUGGGGCCGCAUCAGCCUCCUGACAGGAGGGGUCCCGGAUGCAGCAUCAGUUCCUGGGCCCUGGAAGCUGCCUGGCAUGGGCUGGCAGCCACUUGACCAGGCUCAGCCAGGAAGGCAUUUCCAGAAAGCUUCCUUCUCGUCCUGAGAGCCGCCUGUGUUCUGUGCUCACCAGGCCUGUGGUCGGCACAGAGUGUGGUUUAGGGCCGCUGCUCUAGGGGCUGGGGAGGGUGCAACCUGCGUGACCAGCAGCACAUGCAUCCUGCUACCUCCUGAGACUCCUGAAAGCGUGGUGAUGGCCGAGCACGUGGAGGCCCAUUCUGGGCGAGGAGGCCCAGCUGGAGCUGCUGUGGGGAACUGAACUCCCCAGGAGCAAGAAGUCCUGGGGCUGAGGCUGAGCUGACUGGAGUCUGGAGCAGAGAGGAUUUGGGACGUAAGUUCAAUGUGAGGUUUUUAAUUUUCAAGGAUAGGAGUUUGUGUGUGUGAAUGUUCCUGUGGUCUGAGUGGUCCCCCGAAAUCCGUGUGUUGGAACCUUAAUACCCAGUACAACAGUAUUGGGGGUGGGGCCUUUGGGAGGAGCUUAGGUCAUGCGGGUGGAGGGUAGAUUAAGGCUGGUGCCUUGAUGUGGAACUUCCCAGCCCCCAGAACUGUGCAAGAAAAAAACCUGUUCAUCAAUUACCCAGCAAGAAGCAUUUCAUUACAGUAGCACAAACAGAUUAACACACAUGUAUUGCUGGGUUGUGUGUGUGUGUGUGUGUGCAUGUAUACCACAUUCCUUGUGAAAAGAAAGAUAUUUUCUGAAACGCAGAAUGACUCAGUGCUCAGCUGUGUUCCUGGAGCCUUGGCUGCUCCUCUGUGUGAACUGUGCUCAGUGGGCCAGUGUCAUGACCUGGAAAAGCUGCAACCCAAGAAAGGGAGCCAGCCCUGCCGUUCCCCAUCGUGCUGAGUGAGCUGCUGCAAACUCGCCGCAGACUCACCCUGGAUCCUCUGAAACAAGGACCUUCUGUCCCCAGGACCUCUGUCCCAGGCUCUCUGUGCACCCAGGAUCCACCCAGACCACAGGAGCUGACAGUUGAGGCCGCAUGCAGGACACUGGGGAAGAAGAGGGGCCUCUCUCACCUCGUCCUCCUCCUCCUCUUCCUCCUCUGCCAGCUCCAGGUCUGUCCACCGCCUUCCCCCUGUCCCCACAUUGCUGCAACCUCACCCUUCCCUCCACAUUCUUACUAUCCAAGAGAGCAAGAACAGUAUUUAGUUGAGUUUGUUUUUCAUUGAGAUAAAUUGGCGUGUAGCAAAACUAAGAAUAAAAUCUAAUUAGUGAUAAUCCA